UCCAGACUCCUACGGGAGGCAGCAGUGGGGAAUAUUGCACAAUGGGGGAAACCCUGAUGCAGCGACGCCGCGUGAGUGAAGAAGUAUUUCGGUAUGUAAAGCUCUAUCAGCAGGAAAGAAAAUGACGGUACCUGACUAAGAGGCCCCGGCUAACUACGUGCCAGCAGCCGCGGUAAUACGUAGGGGGCAAGCGUUAUCCGGAUUUACUGGGUGUAAAGGGAGCGUAGACGGUGAAGCAAGUCUGAAGUGAAAGGCGGGGGCUCAACCCCCGGACUGCUUUGGAAACUGUUUGACUGGAGUGCAGGAGAGGUAAGUGGAAUUCCUAGUGUAGCGGUGAAAUGCGUAGAUAUUAGGAGGAACGCCAGUGGCGAAGGCGGCUUACUGGACUGUAACUGACGUUGAGGCUCGAAAGCGUGGGGAGCAAACAGGAUUAGAUACCCUGGUAC
rnacentral:rRNA from 1 species